rnacentral:rRNA from 1 species
CGGGUCGGCAUCGACCAGAGGGAAAAGGAGCAAUCCGCUUUGAGAUGGCCUCGCGUCCGAUUAGCUAGUUGGUGAGGUAAUGGCCCACCAAGGCGACGAUCGGUAGCCGGACUGAGAGGUUGAACGGCCACAUCGGGACCGAGACACGGCCCAGACUCCUACGGGAGGCAGCAGUGGGGAAUAUUGCACAAUGGGGGAAACCCUGAUGCAGCGACGCCGCGUGGAGGAAGAAGGUCUUCGGAUUGUAAACUCCUGUUGUUGAGGAAGAUAAUGACGGUACUCAACAAGGAAGUGACGGCUAACUACGUGCCAGCAGCCGCGGUAAAACGUAGGUCACAAGCGUUGUCCGGAAUUACUGGGUGUAAAGGGAGCGCAGGCGGGAAGACAAGUUGGAGGUGAAAUCCAUGGGCUCAACCCAUGAACUGCUUUCAAAACUGUUUUUCUUGAGUAGUGCAGAGGUAAGCGGAAUUCCCGGUGUAGCGGUGGAAUGCGUAGAUAUCGGGAGGAACACCAGUGGCGAAGGCGGCCUACUGGGCACCAACUGACGCUGAGGCUCGAAAGUGUGGGUAGCAAACAGGAUUAGAUACCCUGGUAGUCCACACCGUAAACGAUGAUUACUAGGUGUUGGGGGAUUGACCCCUUCAGUGCCGCAGUUAACACAAUAAGUAAUCCACCUGGGGAGUACGACCGCAAGGUUGAAACUCAAAGGAAUUGACGGGGGCCCGCACAAGCAGUGGAGUAUGUGGUUUAAUUCGACGCAACGCGAAGAACCUUACCAAGUCUUGACAUCCUGCGACGGAUAUAGAAAUAUGUCUUUCCUUCGGGACGCAGAGACAGGUGGUGCAUGGUUGUCGUCAGCUCGUGUCGUGAGAUGUUGGGUUAAGUCCCGCAACGAGCGCAACCCUUAUGGUCAGUUACUACGCAAGAGGACUCUGGCCAGACUGCCGUUGACAAAACGGAGGAAGGUGGGGAUGACGUCAAAUCAUCAUGCCCUUUAUGACUUGGGCUACACACGUACUACAAUGGCGUUAAACAAAGAGAAGCAAGACCGCGAGGUGGAGCAAAACUCAGAAACAACGUCCCAGUUCGGACUGCAGGCUGCAACUCGCCUGCACGAAGUCGGAAUUGCUAGUAAUCGUGGAUCAGCAUGCCACGGUGAAUACGUUCCCGGGCCUUGUACACACCGCCCGUCACACCAUGAGAGCCGGGGGGACCCGAAGUCGGUAGUCUAACCGCAAGGAGGACGCCGCCGAAGGUAAAACUGGUGAUUGGGGUGAAG